rnacentral:rRNA from 1 species
GAUCUUUAUAUUUUUAUUAAUUUAAUAUUAAUUAGUUGUAUAAUUUUAUUUUAAAUUAGUAUUUUAUUAUAUUGGGGUAAUAGUAAAAUUUGUUUAAUUUUUAAUUAAUUUAGACAAUUAAUGGUUGAAUUUUUGAUCCAGUAUUAUUGAUUAUAAGUUUAAGUUACCUUAGGGAUAACAGCAUAAUGAUUUUUGAGAGUUCUUAUUGA